CAGUAGCCACGGUAAUACGGAGGGUGCGAGCGUUAAUCGGAAUUACUGGGCGUAAAGCGUGCGUAGGCGGUUCGUUAAGUCCGUUGUGAAAGCCCCGGGCUCAACCUGGGAAUGGCAAUGGAUACUGGCGAGCUAGAGUGUGUCAGAGGAUGGUGGAAUUCCCGGUGUAGCGGUGAAAUGCGUAGAGAUCGGGAGGAACAUCAGUGGCGAAGGCGGCCAUCUGGGACAACACUGACGCUGAGGCACGAAAGCGUGGGGAGCAAACAGGAUUAGAUACCCCUGUAGUCCCUGUCUCUUAUAC
rnacentral:rRNA from 1 species